AUUCCUUCAACAAUUAUGCUUUAGGAUGCUACCAUCCCAAGUUAUUUUGCUAGGAUAUUAUAAACUCAUAAUAUUAAAUGAUCAUGGCUAGUAAUUUAUCAAAUUAUGCUUUUAUCAAAUAUAUCUCUAAAAUAUAGCUAUAAUAUGUUUGAAUAUCUGUGUUUUAAAAGAUAUGAUAUAUUUGUCCAUAUAUUAAUAUCUACAUAUUUUAUUUCCAUGAUGUCCAUAUUUUCAAAGUGAAAUCA
rnacentral:lncRNA from 1 species